rnacentral:rRNA from 1 species
GGUGGAUGCCUUGGCAGUUCAAGGCGACGAAGGACGUGGUCAGCUGCGAUAAGUUUCGGGGAGCCGCUAACAGGCUUUGAUCCGGAAAUUUCCGAAUGGGGAAACCCAGCAGGGUCUACCUGCUAACCCGAAAGGGUGGCCAACCCGGGGAACUGAAACAUCUAAGUACCCGGUGGAAUAGAAAUCAAACGAGAUUCCCCUGAGUAGUGGCGAGCGAAAUGGGAAUAGCCUAAACCGGUAGAGGAAACUCUAUCGGGGUUGUGGGGCUCGCGAUACGGCAUUCAGAAAGACUAGAUGAACGACAUUGAAAGGUCGGCCAUAGACGGUGACAGCCCGGUAAUCGAAAGUUCGACUGAGCCUAGCGAGUUCCCGAGUACCACAGGACACGUGUAAUCCGGUGGGGAAUCUGGGAGGACCAUUCUUCUAAGGCUAAAUACUUGAACUGACCGAUAGUGAACAAGUACCGCGAGGGAAGGCGAAAGAACCCUGACAGGGAGUGAAUAGAAU